AUUGAACGCUGGCGGCAGGCUUAACACAUGCAAGUCGAGCGGGGGAGAUUGCUUCGGUAAUUGACCUAGCGGCGGACGGGUGAGUAAUACUUAGGAAUCUGCCUAUUAAUGGGGGACAACAUCUCGAAAGGGAUGCUAAUACCGCAUACGCCCUACGGGGGAAAGCAGGGGAUCACUUGUGACCUUGCGUUAAUAGAUGAGCCUAAGUCGGAUUAGCUAGUUGGUGGGGUAAAGGCCUACCAAGGCGACGAUCUGUAGCGGGUCUGAGAGGAUGAUCAGCCACACUGGGACUGAAACACGGCCCAGACUCCUACGGGAGGCAGCAGUGGGGAAUAUUGGACAAUGGGGGGAACCCUGAUCCAGCCAUGCCGCGUGUGUGAAGAAGGCCUUAUGGUUGUAAAGCACUUUAAGCGAGGAGGAGGCUCUUUUGGUUAAUACCCAAGAUGAGUGGACGUUACUCGCAGAAUAAGCACCGGCUAACUCUGUGCCAGCAGCCGCAGUAACAC
rnacentral:rRNA from 1 species